CUGGCGGCCUUAGCGCGGUGGUCCCACCUGACCCCAUGCCGAACUCAGAAGUGAAACGCCGUAGCGCCGAUGGUAGUGUGGGGUCUCCCCAUGCGAGAGUAGGGAACUGCCAG
rnacentral:rRNA from 2 species